AGCUCAGUGAUAGAGCACUUGCCUGGCAUGCAUGAGGCCCUGGGUUUCAUCCCCAG
rnacentral:tRNA from 1 species